UUAAGUUUGCAUUAAAUAGCAGCCCAGCUGCCUGCAGGGGCUCCGAUCCCACUCUCUUUAUUCCACAACGUUUGAUGGCUGAGGAAAAGCCAGCUCCAAAUUCACAUGGAACUUUCUAAACCAAGAACAAAAUUCCAUCUGUCAGCCUUGGUUCAUUCUCUCAGAGAAAACCAGGACGAGCUGAUUUUGGGGCGGGCAGACAGACAGCUCUUCACUUGGUGCAGUUUAGGGGCUUUGCGGUCCAGGACGUGCCUGGUUGGGUUCCAGGCUGGUGAUUCCCGGGACUCCCCUCCCAGCCGGGGGUGCGGGACAGCCCAGGCUCCCGGGGGGUGGGCGCUGGGGAGCCAAGGGCCAGCUGUGUCCGCUGCCCAUCCCUCGGCAGGUGGAUCUGUAGGAAGGGUUAGCUCUCUCUGCCACGGGUGUGAGUUCUCAGCCAGCACUGGGCGGGACGGGAAGCGCGGCCACGGAGCAGUGGGCUCCAGUACAGGGCUGGAAGCGGCUGAGACAGGCGCUUACCUUCUUCUAACUCCUCCUUGGACGGCUGAAGAGCUCCGGUCUGCGGCUGUUCCUGCCUCUCUCCUGCGGGAUCCUCUCGCAGCCCAAGAUCUCCCCUGGCUUUGGGUGCUGAAGCCACCGAGCAGCACGCUCGCCCAAAAUGAUGGAAAAUAAAGUGUUCCUGUCUUUCACGUUCUACAGCACAAUUUUGAUUUUAAAAAUGUAUGUCGUUGCCAUCAUAACGGGGCAAGUGAGACUCAGAAAGAAGGCAUUUGCAAACCCAGAGGAUGCCUUGCGCAAUGGGGGGUUGCAGUUCUGCCGCGAAGACCCUGACGUGGAGCGGUGCCGCAGGGCCCACCGUAAUGACAUGGAGAACAUUUUUCCCUUUCUCUUCCUUGGAGCCAUCUACUCCCUGCUGGAUCCCAGUCCCACAGUGGCCAGGAUCCAUUUCCUCAUCUUCUGCGUGGGACGGAUCAUCCACACCAUUGCCUACCUCCUGCAGCUGAGGGCACCCACACGCUCCGUGGCCUACAGUGUGGCCCAGCUGCCCUGCUUCUCCAUGGCCCUGCAGAUCCUCCUGGCCACCACCCCAUACUGGUAACAACCAGAGACUGACCACCCAAACCCCCUCAUCCUGACUCUGCUGGACCCUCUGUGAGUGGGAGAGUGAGGGUGGGUGUGUGUGUGUGUGUGUGAGAGAGAGAGAGAUGUCACCAGGGAGGUCACCUGGACCCUGAGGAUGUUCAGUGCGGCCUUGAUGAAAUUCCACUGUCAUCGGAAUUUUGUCAGAGAAAUCACCAGAGAGGAGGGACAUACAGGAAGGGGAUGUGGAGCAGGUUUCUCUCCCACCUGCUGAGGAUGAGAGGUGGGAAGCACAUGGACUACGCCUCGAGGAAGGGGUCAUUGAAGGAAAGGUUUUCUGUGUUUGGAAAAGGUGGGGAAGAUGUGCCUUUUCCUCCUGGUCAUGAGAAUCCCAUGAAUCAGGAAGGGAAAAUCAUGAGAGUCCCACAAAGUCUCUUAGCAGAUGUGGUUGGUAGCAGAGGUUACAAAGCAGCCACCCUUCUCCUGCCCAACCACGUGCAUCUGUGGGAAUGUGAGUCCUGUAGGACUUAGGCCUGUGCCUCCAGACAGCAUAACAGGGAAGUCAAAAUCUCAGAGGUGAUGUUGCAGAGCAUUCAGUGUUCCCGGUGCCACCUCAUCUCCUGCCACAGGACACAGCUCCCUGCCAGGAGCCUCACUGCAACCCUGCUAGCUCCUGGCAACUCCCAGCCAGCAGCAGCUGUCCUUUUCCACCACAGCACAAUGCAGAGCGACAUGCCUGGAAAAGCCAGCAGGAAUCCUUUACCCUGGACACAGAGCCUGAACACAUUUGCCGGACACAAAGUUCUGGGGCAUCUGGAAAAUCUAAAAUGCUGGCACAAAACAGAGGGUUUGCAGACAGAAUUUUCUCCCAAAGGGCAGUCUAGUCCAUGUGCUACUAAUACCUGAAAAUGCCCCCAGAGCAUCAGACUGAGUUUCUCCCCCUCUGUUUUUAGCCUUUCUCUGGCCACAGAAUGGCUGUUGCUAUUUGGGAAAUGUGCUGUGAUCGCCGUAGAGGUGUUUUCUUUCAGCUGUUUCCUGCUGUCCACUGCUGCCACACCAUUCACAGCCUGGACCAGCUGGUGUUUGCAGAAAGCUCUGGAAAUGAGCAGAGGGGCUUUGAAGGGAGUACUGCUGCUCUGCAGUGCCACCCAAACGUGUCAUGUUGGAGAGGAGAGGCCGGGACCAGGGUACUGCAUGGUGACAAAGGCCCGUGAGCUCCUCUGCCACACAGCUGUCCCCAGGUGCCAGGGGCUGCUCCUGGCAGCAGCAGCAAUUGAGCAUCCCUCUGGAGAAGAAGGCAGGAAGAAACCUCUGCUCUUCAGUGUAUCCUCCCUCCUCUGAGGGCACAGAAUUUGAAUGACAUCACAGAAUGAGUAGGAAAUAAAUUUCCCUUCCACCUGUCCUGUGCACUAAGGCUGUUCCCUUGACUCUGCUCUCCUCAGAGAUGCUCUUGCUGAGACCUCACUGAGCACUGGGGUGAACACCUGCUCAGAAAUGAUGCUCACCCUUUGUUCAGCUUGGGUAGAAGUUUCUGUACCAGUAACUCAAUCCCAGUGCAGUUGUGGCCUGAGGCUGAGCUGUGUGGUGAAGUUUGGAGUGGAAUUCUUCGUCCUCCCACUGCAAGGAAGGUGGACAGGAUUGCAGGUUCAGCAGUUCACUCUUGGCCACUUCUCCUUCACACAGAUGUCUGGGUAACACAGACCCCUCUUAACAAGUCUUUUCUGCCUCACAUGGUGCACAAGGUCUUGAACUCCUCUAUGUUUCUCUGCUGCUACACACGCAUCCUGGUGGCAGGAAGUAAAUAUUCCCAAUAAAAACAAAUCAUUGUGCUCUGAUACAUCCUUCCUUUGGGAGUAGCAGAUGCAGCUGGGCAGCAGCUGGGUCCAGCCCCAGCAGGAUGUUAAACCCCACUGUAGAGCCUGGAGUGCCCUGUGACUUCUAAAGAGACAUCCUUUUCCUCUGCACUCACCUGCCCUGCACAGGAACCUCCUUUCUAGGUGUGCAUUAUUUGUGCUGACCUUUAAAUUCAGCAGAGCUGGGAAUUACAAGCAGUCCUGCUCAGUUUUCCUCCCCUGAGUAGCAAGUUGUUACAAAGCUUGGUGUUCACCCAAAAAUCCUGGAGGGCUGGAGAACCUCAGGUAAGAUCUGGUUGAUCUUCUUUGUGUUGUUAGGACUCGUAAAGGAGCUGCUUGUAUUUUCCAAGAUAAGUAGCUCCCUUUUUUUUGCACUAGGUUGCUGGGAAACAAAUGCUUAAUUUCUCUGGUUUUCCCUAUUUUCUUAAGUUGUUGGUGGUUGGGAGUUGCUGCCCUGUCAGUGUCUGCGUUAGUUUCGUAAAAUGGUUCCACUUGCUUGUUUUCUUUCCCUGUUUGUUUUCAAAUGAGAAAGGCAGUGGUUUUAUAAAAUGGACUCUCUCCAGUACAUGUUGCUGUGGUUGGAGAUGUGGCUGGGAUGGAGAUUUUGGCAUGGGAAGGAAGAAGGGAGGCUACAGAACCCCCUGCCAGCCCCCAAAUCUGCUUCAGCCUCUUCUCGGCUGCCUGUCCAGUGCCUGAGGCUCAUGCCCUGCUCAAGGAAGCUGAGGUUACAUGCAAAGCUCUACUUUCUCCUUUUUUAUUAAAAAAAAAAUAAAAAUAAAUAAACUCUGCUUACUGGCUGCAGGGAAAAGCUUGGGAAUGUGAACUGUCCUGGCUCAAAAAAAAAACAAACACAAAAAGCCUAACAGGCAAACUUGAGAGAGGCCCAAGCAUUGCACUUAUUUUGAAGUGUUGUGGAAGUUUGGGGGAAGCAGGACCAUUACGGCUUUCCUGGGACCAGGUGAUCAGAGCCCCUGGCUCUCCCCUGGACACUCACAGUGGUUGCUGCAUGUGGGGGGGCCUUUUCCCAAUUAAUAUCUAAAGCCCAGAGCUCCUAAAUUCCUGCUCUGGCAUCGAUGUAGGCAAAGGAUGUGCCCAGUGUCUCCUGCUGCUCCAGGAGAGCAAGGACAGUGGUUGCACCCACCAGUGUCUGGGGUUUGGUGUGUGCUUUGUGUGUAGAACCAUUUGUUUUUCACACCUGGCUCAAACGGGAAACGGCAACGAUGUGAAACCCACCUGGGAUUGCAGAACAACAAUUUGGUGCUUAAAUGGGUACUAAUUGAAAGAGGAUAAAUUUAGGUUAGACAUUAGGAAGAAUUUUUUUACUGUAAGGGUGGUGAGACCCUGGUACAGGCUGCCCAUGGAGGCUGUGGAUGCCCCAGCCCUGGCAGAGUUCAAAGCCAGGUUUGAUGAGACCUUGAGCAACUUUGGUUUAAUUCAAGCUGUCCCUGCCUACGGCAGGAGUAAAUGAUCUUUAAGGUCCAUUCCACCCCCUUCUGUGGUUAAAUGUGUGAAUGUGAUUCACACAACCAGUACGUGUCUUCCCUCGAGGUGUCUGGAGCUGGGAGAAAAGCAAGUGGAGACCCAGCACAAGCCGCUUUCCCUCCCACACUCUUGCAGGUAGUUCAAGUCCCAGGAUCCCUCCUACCCCUGAGCACUGGACACACCUCUUCCUUACCUGUCUGCACCGCUCCCUGGUCUCUCUUCAUCCAGACCUUCCCUUGGUGGGAUCUGGACCAAGAUUCCUCCUUGGGCAGCUCUCCUUUAACACAGAUCACUCUUCCACCCUCUCAAAAUCUCCCCUUCCCUGCAGCAGACGGGAUUUUGAUACACAAAUCCCCUUAUUCCUCUUGAGGAAUUGAGAUUCCUGUGACUUGCAGAGAGAAUGAGAGGAUCCAGCUCUACAAGUGAAUCCCCUGGAGAAGACAGCGGUGCUUCCCUGCUGCGCUCUGUUUGUAGAUGGUGCCAGCAGGACUCUGAGGGUCUUCAGACUUUCCCAUUGCCACCAGAGGGAGAAGGGCUCAGCAGCACAAGCAUAGUGGGAAAGGAGGAUACUGU